rnacentral:rRNA from 1 species
AGCAGUAGCCGCGGGAAAACAGAGGGUGCGAGCGUUAAUCGGAUUUACUGGGCGUAAAGCGUGCGUAGGCGGCUUUUUAAGUCGGAUGUGAAAUCCCUGAGCUUAACUUAGGAAUUGCAUUCGAUACUGGGAAGCUAGAGUAUGGGAGAGGAUGGUAGAAUUCCAGGUGUAGCGGUGAAAUGCGUAGAGAUCUGGAGGAAUACCGAUGGCGAAGGCAGCCAUCUGGCCUAAUACUGACGCUGAGGUACGAAAGCAUGGGGAGCAAACAGGAUUAGAUACCCGAGUAGUCCCUGUCUCUUAUAC